rnacentral:rRNA from 1 species
UGCUUCGGGGAGCGGUAAGUACGCUUUGAUCCGGAGAUUUCCGAAUGGGGCAACCCAAUCAGCUUAGUCGCUGAUUACUUGACUAGUGAAUACAUAGCUGGCAAGAGGUAGACGCAGUUAACUGAAACAUCUUAGUAGCUGCAGGAAGAGAAAGAAACAUCGAUUCCCCGAGUAGCGGCGAGCGAAAAGGGAAGAGCCCAAACCAACAAGCUUGCUUGUUGGGGUUGUAGGACUGAA